rnacentral:sRNA from 1 species
ACGCCCUACGGAGCGCUCAGGUCCGCCGCAUCUCCUGGGUCCGUGGGGUUGGUCGGCGCAGAAACGGGUUCAGAGUGGCCUCCUCAUGUCAUCCGCUUCGCGCCGACCACCAC